UACAGAGGUCCCAAGCGUUGUUCGGAUUCACUGGGCGAAAAGGGUGCGUAGGUGGUGGGGUAAGUCGGAUGUGAAAGCUCGGAGCUCAACUCCGAAAUGGCAUUGGAAACUACCCUGCUAGAGGAUUGGAGGGGGGACUGGAAUACUUGGUGUAGCAGUGAAAUGCGUAGAGAUCGGGAGGAACAUCUGUGGCGAAGGCGACUGCCUGGACCAGCACUGACACUGAGGCACGAAAGCUAGGGGAGCAAACAGG
rnacentral:rRNA from 1 species